GACGAACGCUGGCGGCGUGCCUAAUACAUGCAAGUCGAACGCACAGUUUAUACCGUAGCUUGCUACACCAUAGACUGUGAGUUGCGAACGGGUGAGUAACGCGUAGGUAACCUGCCUGGUAGCGGGGGAUAACUAUUGGAAACGAUAGCUAAUACCGCAUAAUAUUGAUUAUUGCAAGAUAAUUGAUUGAAAGAUGCUAUUGCAUCACUACCAGAUGGACCUGCGUUGUAUUAGCUAGUAGGUGAGGUAACGGCUCACCUAGGCGACGAUACAUAGCCGACCUGAGAGGGUGAUCGGCCACACUGGGACUGAGACACGGCCCAGACUCCUACGGGAGGCAGCAGUAGGGAAUCUUCGGCAAUGGACGAAAGUCUGACCGAGCAACGCCGCGUGAGUGAAGAAGGUUUUCGGAUCGUAAAGCUCUGUUGUAAGAGAAGAACGGGUGUGAGAGUGGAAAGUUCACACUGUGACGGUAUCUUACCAGAAAGGGACGGCUAACUACGUG
rnacentral:rRNA from 1 species